AAAACACACAGAAAAUAAACAAAAAAUAAAACAAGCAUUUUCAUUUUUUUCAGGGCAGAUAGAUAAUUUGAUGUUUGUGUUCCUGAGGUCUAUCAAUUCAUAUUUAAACUGAAUUCGAUCAAUCAGUUGAUGCCCAUCUCCUUUUGUUUCUUCUUUCUUGAAAAUAAAGAAGAAACAAAAGGAGGGAAAGUUUUUCAGAUAAAAAUCAAAUCUUGAAGAUUUCAAGAAAAAGCUUGAAUCUUUACAAUUGUUGAUCAAAUUGAUGAAGUGGGUCGAUUGGUAUUGAUUAAAUUAAGUUUUAUAUAAUUAUGGAUAUGGAUAAUAUUGAGUGUGUAUCUACAGAUGAGAUGCUUAUGAUGGAAGAUGAUGAUUUGAUUAAUCAUCAUCAUCAUAGUAAUGCUUUUCCUGCUAAUCUUUUUAAUAAUCAUCAAAAUCUUUCAAAGCCUCAUCACAAGAAUAAUAAUAAUGAUGGUAGUAAUAAUAUUAAUGGGGCUCUUCUGGGGUUGACUCCAGCUACCAGUGUUCAUGAAUUGUUGGAAUGUCCUGUUUGUACCAAUUCUAUGUACCCUCCUAUUCAUCAGUGUCACAAUGGUCACACACUGUGCUCCACCUGUAAAGCAAGGGUUCAGAACCGAUGUCCUACUUGUAGACAAGAGCUUGGAGAUAUCAGGUGUUUGGCUUUAGAGAAGGUAGCUGAAUCACUUGAACUCCCAUGCAAAUAUCAAUUAAUGGGAUGUCCUGGGAUAUUUCCAUACUACAGCAAACUUAAGCAUGAAACAGUUUGCGACUUCCGACCAUACAAUUGCCCGUAUGCUGGAUCAGAGUGUUCUGUUACAGGAGACAUUCCUUAUCUGGUUUCCCAUCUGAGAGAUGACCAUAAAGUUGAUAUGCACACAGGAUGUACUUUCAACCAUCGCUACGUAAAAUCCAAUCCCCGGGAAGUUGAAAAUGCCACUUGGAUGCUUACAGUCUUCCAUUGCUUUGGCCAGUAUUUUUGCCUUCAUUUUGAAGCUUUUCAACUUGGCACGGCCCCUGUAUACAUGGCUUUUCUUCGUUUCAUGGGUGAUGAGGCUGAUGCUCGCAGUUACAGUUACAGCUUAGAGGUAGGAGCAAAUGGCAGAAAGCUCAUAUGGGAGGGUACCCCCCGUAGUGUCCGUGAUAGCCACAGGAAGGUGAGGGAUAGUCAUGAUGGCCUUAUAAUUCAAAGGAAUAUGGCACUCUUCUUCUCUGGUGGGGAUAGGAAAGAGCUAAAGCUAAGAGUUACAGGAAGAAUAUGGAAGGAACAACAUAGUCCAGAUUCUGGGGUGUGUAUACCAAAUGUUUCUCAGUAAAAUCGUAAACAAUUUGAAGGUAAGGUUCACCUGUCUCGUGUUGGAUCUUUGCAAGUUGCUCUUUUUAUUAUACUGGAAACUGGAAAACUUCUCAGGAAGCUUUAACUUAAGCUUCAGGCGUUUCUGGUAUCGCGGUAACUUCACAGCCCCGGAACAUGAUGCCUGGAGCCUCAGGAGAACACAAAACUACUGCAAUUUUUCGGGAAGGAUGACGAAACAUCAGUAUCUGAAGAUUCUGAAAUGAACUCGGGUUCGAUCAUCGUUCCUGACAAUAAAAAAACAAGAAAUUAUUCUGACAAUUUUACAUGUCGCUAUGCUAAUCCUACCAGGCCAUAUAAAUUGUUAAAAGCAA